rnacentral:misc_RNA from 1 species
GUUUUCUCUCACAGCAGUAGCCCAGCCCCCCUCAUUUGGUCCCACCGUGCCACUUCUUAACUGCCUUGACCCCUCAUCAAGGUUUUCAGACACUAGGAAGCAUCCUGCAAUGGAUGUUCUCAACUGCAGCUGUUCAAAGAAGAGUACUUGUACUAUAAUCCUUAAAGGGAGCCGUUCAUUCUGUGCAGCAUGUGUACAAGCUUCCAAGGAGAGUUUCUGGCAAUCCAUGAGCCUGCAGAGUUGUUCCCUAUCAGAUUCUCCCAACCAUGGAUGUGACUUGAGAUAAAUGUCAAUUGCACGAUAAAGGCCAUCAUCCAAGGGCCUUGCAUAUUCAGGAACAGAAGCAGCAAGAGUCUGAAAUUUGGGAAGCUUCAAGUUAACAUCUGGGGCAACCUCAGCAAGAUAUCCAUCGAUUAGUUUUGCCACCAUAGUGAUUGGUGUCAGAGAUGGUGAACCAAUCAAUUGCUCAUCAUCAAUGGAACAAGGUGAUUCACCACCAGUUCCUUGAUCCAUGGCUAAGAAGUGCUCUAGAAUUCUCUGUACGCAGUCAACAUUAUAAAGUGUUUCCAUCGAGUAAGAGAAAUUAGGCAUUAAGAGAUCUUCUAGAGUGGCCUGAUCAAGCUGCAUUCCUAUCCUUUUCUCCAAGUUUGAUAUGCAAGAGGGACAGGCUCGAAGAAUCAAAGCUGUUUUCAGUAGGCCAAAGAGGAAUUUAGUUGGAACUAGGCCUUUUUGCAUGGGAAGUAAAUUAUCCACCUCUUCAAGUAAAAGCUUCUGAUCUUCUUCUGAUAGAGAAGAACCUAAACCAACUGGUGCAAGUCGGUUAGUGGACUCAGAAGAGGUCUGCCGCCUGUUUAGCCCAGGCAGGUACUUUUUAGCAUAAUAACUGAGGGAACCAGCAACAAUAUCCUGUUUGACGCCUUGAGAUUCCAUAGCAGAAAUUAGCCUCUUGUAAAGAGGUAAACUUAAAGUUGA